rnacentral:piRNA from 1 species
AACUAUGUAGACUGGGCUAGCCUU